rnacentral:lncRNA from 1 species
UUCCAUUGGCUAUGUAUUUUGCCAUGGCUUAGGAAGAGAAACACCUGUCCUUGUUGUAGGUUUCAGCUUCCUACUGAUGAUGUUUUGGGAGAGAUCCAACGUCUAUGGGAGAUCCUCUUCAAGGUGGGAUCCACCAUGUGUACAUCUGAUGGAGAUUAACGACCAAAAUUGAGUGAUAUCAUGGAAUUAUCAUAGAACCGGAUGGAGAGGAUAUAGGAUUAACACGUGAGAUGAACUUACACGUGGGGAGGAAACUUUGGGGUAUGACCUAACGAUGGGUCGUUAUAGGAAGAGGGGGGGGAGAAGAUAGGCUUUGAUAAAGACACGUGUGGUUCACCUUAUGAAGAUUCAAAUGAAUCUUUGUAUUUUUAUGAUUUUUUUUAGGAAUUGAGGGAUGGGUUCUUUUUUACUUUUUUGUGAGUAAAGUAUAUUCAUGUUAUGUGUAAAAUAUAAACUCACUUAAUCGUUUUUUUUUUUUUUUUUUUUAGCAGAACAUUAGAAUGGUGUAAUUGGCUUCUAUAGAUGAAUAGUUUUAUUUUAUCUUGCACCUCAAUCUUCUUACUUAGAUCAAGUGUGUCAAAUUGUAAGAAAAGAAAUUUGAUUUCUUUAACAAAAUUUUAUCAUAGUUCAACAUGAUAUUAAGUUAAAUUAAACAGGAAAAAAAGAAAAGAAAAGAAAAGAAAAGGAGAAUAACAGUUGAAACUGACAGUGUGUUAAGAUUGUUUAAAAAUGGUUUUGUUAAGAAAUAAAGAGAGCAAUCUUUUGCAUUUAUCUAUAAUUUGAGUGUUGUGAUCCUUCAUGGGCCGUUUGAGGCAAGAUCCAUCCUUUGCUAUAUUAUUAUGAUUUGAUUUGUUACCGUUGUAUUUAUUUAUUAUUUUUUUAAAAUUACUUGUUGCGCUAUCUACUAUUCUUUUAAGAAAAUGUAUGAUAAUAAAUGGAGGUGAAGAAAUUAUAACCCGAGACUUUUCUUACCACAGGUAUGUACACGUGAUAGUUGAUUUGCAGUGUUUACUAUUUUUUUUAUAAACUAAAAUAGUUUACUCAUUAAACAUAGACUAGUACAUAAUGUACUAAGACUAAAGCAAUUCAUUCUAAUCAUGUUCUAAUUCACAAAAAGAUCUAAUAUAAUUAAAUGGGCUUGGUGGAAGUUAAUAUGAUAACGAUAUCCAUCUCUAUCUAGUCAGAAAAGACCCUUAAAUGUGUUUUUCUUACAAAAAGAUGAAACUGAAAACUAUAUAUGAAAAUCAUUUGAUAUAUAUAUAUAUAUAUAUAUAUAUAUAUAUAUAUAUAUAUAUAUAUAUAUAUAUAUAUAUUUUAUAUAUAUAUAUAUAUAUUUAUAUAUAUAUAUAUAUAUAUAUAUAUAUUUUGACAAUUUGAGUUAAUAAGUUGAUAGGGAAGUGGAGAUUCCAAGGUCCACUACAUAAGUUGGUUAAAAUUAGUAAGAAGUAAUAUUUAUAAAAUGAAGUUGAAGAGAGAAAUUUUAUGGAUAUUCUACCAUGUAGAGAUAGUAGUAAAUUAAUUUGAAAUGAAAAUGCGUGGGGCUCGGAAUUGAAAUAGAAUCCAUGGAGGCUACUAAGAGGAGAUUUUCUAAUUCUAAGACCUAACUUGAAGAAGAAGCAAUCCAUGAUUCCUGUAGGAGUGGGAGAAAGAAAAGCUUAUGUGUGCGGUGGACACCAUAUGGUUUCGUUUUUGCGAGGAGCAGUAAAAUAAGAAAGAAAAAGGUAACAUUAUAAUGGUAAUGAUAAAAUAGAAUCCAAGGAUUUGUAAAAUAUUAGUAAAGAAUGUCGGUGAACAUAAACGUAGUCUGAGCCCACCACUUUGACUGAAAAAAGGAACUACGUGGAGCUGCCUCUCAUUUUUCUCCUACCCCUACUUUCCGACACGUCGAAUUCCACACCCAAAAACUUUCUUUAGUUAAUUAGUGAAGAAUGAAGAAUACAACCACCUAAACCCCUGUUAACUCGAAUUACCCUCUGUCCAUGGGGAUGGGUUGGAUUGCUUUUAGAAAAAUAUUUUGGACUGGGUUGAGUUAUACAAUUUAGUAACUCAGUUUAACCACCUAAACCCAACAAUCUUACUCUUAUUAUUAUUAUAUAUCAAAUGAAUUCGAAACAUACUAUCUAAAUUUUGCUAUUUUGAAUGUAAAUUUGGAUUUUAGGUUCAUAUAUUUCAGCGUAAAUACUUGUUAGUUUGUUUGAUUAUAAUUUUUUAAAAGCUUGAUCCUAAUGUAUUUAGGUCAUUUACGAUCUUUUUUUUUUGUUUACUGCAAAAUUUAAAUUUUAGUGAUAAAGAAAAUAAUGAAAAAAAGUAUCUAAAUUAUGAAAGAAAAAUAAAAAACUAACCUGAGGACCCAACUUGAUGUCACCCACCAAUCUCCGACCACCAACUUCGGUGAGUCUCCAACAAACUUCAAAUAACCGUCACCAAUUAAUCUUGAAAAAGCUUAAUAAAAAUAUUUUUUGAGUUUAGGCUAAUAUUUGUAGAUUGUCG